AAAGUCAGUUCAAUAUUCAAAAAUCAGUUAAGGUAAAGAUACAGGGAUUAGCAUGGCCCCUGCACAAGGAUGACACUCAAAUUCAAGAAGCAAAUUCAAGAAGAGUUUUUU
ensembl:snRNA U6 U6 spliceosomal RNA